GUGGGGAAUAUUGGACAAUGGGCGCAAGCCUGAUCCAGCCAUGCCGCGUGAGUGAUGAAGGCCUUAGGGUUGUAAAGCUCUUUCAGUGGGGACGAUAAUGACGGUACCCACAGAAGAAGCCCCGGCUAACUUCGUGCCAGCAGCCGCGGUAAUACGAAGGGGGCUAGCGUUGUUCGGAUUUACUGGGCGUAAAGCGCACGUAGGCGGAUCGUUAAGUCGGGGGUGAAAUCCUGGAGCUCAACUCCAGAACUGCCUUCGAUACUGGCGAUCGUGAGUCCUGAAGAGGUGAGUGGAACUCCUAGUGUAGAGGUGGAAUUCGUAGAUAUUAGGAAGAACACCAGUGGCGAAGGCGGCUCACUGGACUGGUAUUGACGCUGAGGUGCGAAAGCGUGGGGAGCAAACAGGAUUAGAAACCCUUGUAGUCC
rnacentral:rRNA from 1 species